UACGUAGGGUGCGAGCGUUAAUCGGAAUUACUGGGCGUAAAGCGUGCGCAGGCGGUUUUGUAAGCCAGAUGUGAAAUCCCCGGGCUCAACCUGGGAAUGGCAUUUGGGACUGCAAGGCUGGAGUGUGGCAGAGGAGACUGGAAUUCUUGGUGUAGCAGUGAAAUGCGUAGAUAUCAGGAGGAAUACCGAUGGCGAAGGCAGGUCUCUGGGCUGACACUGACGCUCAUGCACGAAAGCGUGGGGAGCAAACAGG
rnacentral:rRNA from 1 species